GCUAAAAACUUAGCCCAAACCUAACCUAAUGCUAAGCAAUAAACCCAACCCCGCUAAUUAAAACAUUUUAGCACUUUAGUAAAGGCGAUUGAAAAACUACUUGGAGCUAUACAACACAGUACCGCAAGGGAUAAGUGAAAUAAAAAUGAAACAACUAUUAAGCACAAAAAAGUAGAGAUCACCCCUCGUACCUUUUGCAUCAUGGUUUAACUAGUCUAAUCAAGCAAAAUGACUUAAAGUUUGACCCCCCGAAACUAGGCGAGCUACUUCAAGGCAGCUUAAUGAGCAAACCCGUCUCUGUUGCAAAAGAGUGGGAAGACCUUCAAGUAGGGGUGACAGACCUAACGAGCCUAGUGAUAGCUGGUUACUCAAGAAAAGAAUUUAAGUUCAGCCUAAAAUUAACUAAAUAACACAAAAUAAUAACCCUAAUUUUAGAGUAAUUCAAAUAAGGUACAGCCUAUUUGAAAAAGGAUACAACCUCUACCACUGGGUAAACCUAAGCCACUCUUAAUAAAGUGGGCCUAAAAGCAGCCAUCUUUAAAAAAGCGUCAAAGCUUAAUCAAGUCACCAACCAAUCCCCGCACCACCCGAGAACCCUUACACGAUACUGAGUAAUUCUAUACUCCCAUAUAGAAGAUUUUAUGUUAAAACUAGUAACAAGAAGAAGAACUUCUCUUACAAUGCAAGUGUAAAUCAGACAGGACACCCCACCGACAAUUAACACCAAUGAACAAAAAGUAGUAACUUAACAAGAAAACCCUACUACACCGUAUGUUAACCUAACACCAGAGCAUUACAAGAAAGAUUCAAAGAAAGAGAAGGAACUCGGCAAAUAUUAACCUCGCCUGUUUACCAAAAACAUCGCCUCUUGAAAACAUAAGAGGUCCAGCCUGCCCAGUGACUCUGUUCAACGGCCGCGGUAUCCUAACCGUGCGAAGGUAGCGUAAUCACUUGUUCUUUAAAUGAGGACUAGUAUGAACGGCACCACGAAGGUUAUACUGUCUCCUCUUUCCAAUCAGUAAAACUAAUCUCCCCGUGAAGAAGCGAGGAUGAACAUAUAAGACGAGAAGACCCUAUGGAGCUUCAAACUACACAACACCUGUUUUAACACAAUUAAAUUUCAGAAAAACCCCCUUCACCCCAGCAGGAUGAUUGACAGUUUUAGGUUGGGGUGACCGCGGAGCACAAGACAACCUCCUCAUUGAAAGGAACCCACUCCUUAGCCAAGAGCUACGCCUCCACGCACCAAUAAAAUGACAUUAAUUGACCCAAUAUAUUGAUCAACGAACCAAGUUACCCUAGGGAUAACAGCGCAAUCCACUUUAAGAGCCCCUAUCGACAAGUGGGUUUACGACCUCGAUGUUGGAUCAGGGUAUCCCGGUGGUGCAGCCGCUACCAAAGGUUCGUUUGUUCAACGAUUAAAACCCUACGUGAUCUGAGUUCAGACCGGA
rnacentral:rRNA from 1 species